AUGAACAUGGGGUUCCCUACUCAGCUCCUGGUAUUCCUGCUGCUCUGGUUCCCAGGUGGCAGAUGUAAUAUCCAAAUGACACAAACUCCAUCAUCCCUGUCCGUAUCUUUGGGAGACAGAGUCAGCCUCUCUUGCAAGGCUAGUGAGAACAUUUAUACUACAUUAUCAUGGUACCUGCAGAAACCGGGGAAAGCUCCUAAGCUCCUGAUCUAUUAUGCAAACAGCUUGGAAGAUGGAGUCCCAUCGAGGUUCAGUGGCAGUGGGUCUGGGACACAGUUUUCUCUCAAAAUUAGCAGCCUGGAGGCUGAGGAUGCUGGCAUUUAUUUCUGCCAGCAAGGUUAUAAUCCUCCUUCCACAGUGAUACAUGCCAUGUCAUAA